UCCUACGGGCGGCUGCAGUGGGGAAUAUUGGACAAUGGGGGCAACCCUGAUCCAGCAAUGCCGCGUGAGUGAUGAAGGCCUUAGGGUUGUAAAGCUCUUUUACCAGGGAUGAUAAUGACAGUACCUGGUGAAUAAGCUCCGGCUAACUCCGUGCCAGCAGCCGCGGUAAUACGGAGGGAGCUAGCGUUGUUCGGAAUUACUGGGCGUAAAGCGCACGUAGGCGGUUACUCAAGUCAGAGGUGAAAGCCCGGGGCUCAACCCCGGAACUGCCUUUGAAACUAGGUAACUAGAAUCCUGGAGAGGUGAGUGGAAUUCCGAGUGUAGAGGUGAAAUUCGUAGAUAUUCGGAAGAACACCAGUGGCGAAGGCGGCUCACUGGACAGGUAUUGACGCUGAGGUGCGAAAGCGUGGGGAGCAAACAGGAUUAGAUACCCCAGUAGUCACC
rnacentral:rRNA from 1 species